rnacentral:rRNA from 1 species
UGGGGAAUCUUGGACAAUGGGGGCAACCCUGAUCCAGCGACGCCGCGUGGGUGGUAAGGCCUUCGGGUUGUAAAGCCCUUUCAGCGGGGAAGAUGAUGACAUUACCCGCAGAAGAAGCUCCGGCUAACUCCGUGCCAGCAGCCGCGGUAAUACGGAGGGAGCUAGCGUUGUUCGGAGUUACUGGGCGUAAAGCGCGCGUAGGCGGCCAUUCAAGUCAGAGGUGAAAGCCCGGGGCUCAACUCCGGAACUGCCUUUGAAACUAGAUGGCUAGAAUCCAGGAGAGGUGAGUGGAAUUCCGAGUGUAGAGGUGAAAUUCGUAGAUAUUCGGAAGAACACCAGUGGCGAAGGCGACUCACUGGACUGGAAUUGACGCUGAGGUGCGAAAGCGUGGGGAGCAAACAGGAUUAGAUACCCCUGUAGUCC